rnacentral:tRNA from 1 species
GCUAGUUUAGCAUAAUGGUGAGUGUGCGAGAUUGUAAAUCUUGAGGUGUCGGGUGUUCAGCUAGGA